CCCUUAGAUGUUCUGGGCCGCACGCGCGCUACACUGUUUGAUUCAGCGAGUCUUAACCUUGACCGAAAGGUUUGGGUAAUCUUCUAAAGUCAAACGUGAUGGGGAUCGAUCAUUGCAAUUAUUGAUCGUGAACGAGGAAUUCCUAGUAAAGGCAAGUCAUCAGCUUGCGUUGAUUACGUCCCUGCCCUUUGUACACACCGCCCGUCGCUACUACCGAUUGAAUGGUUUAGUGAGAUCUCCGGAUUGGCUCUGUAGGUCCCGCAAGGGAUUUAUUAGUAGCCAAGAAGCUGCUCAAACUUGAUCAUUUAGAGGAAGUAAAAGUCGUAACA
rnacentral:rRNA from 1 species